rnacentral:lncRNA from 1 species
GUGCUGUCAGUGUGAGGCGUGGGUGGGAUGGGGUGCUGUCAGUAGGAGGGGGGCAGGGGUGGGGUGCUGUCAGUAGGAGGGGGGCAGGGAUGGGAUGGGGUGCUGUCAGUAGGAGGGGGGCAGGGAUGGGAUGGGGUGCUGUCAGUAGGAGGGGGGCAGGGAUGGGGUGCUGUCAGUAGGAGGCGGGCAGCAGGGAUGGGAUGGGGUGCUGUCAGUAGGAGGGGGGCAGGGAUGGGAUGGGGUGCUGUCAGUAGAAGGGGGGCAGGGAUGGGAUGGGGUGCUGUCAGUAGGAGGGGGGGGGAUCUGUACUGGGGAAGCUGAUUGCUUGCAUUAUAUGAACACUGCCUACUGGUUUUAGAGAUGAUGUAAGGAUGUGGUUAGCCAACCUGUGUUUGUCAGUCACAUUUAAUAUUUAGGGUGGUGGUAAUAUUCACAACAAACAAUCCAUUAUAAACCCACACAAAUCUACUGUGGUUACAAGUCAGUCACAUUGAAAAGUCUUCUAAUGAUGUAAAUUGUUUAAAUGUAUCUGUUUAAACAAUAGCCCCCCAAAAAAUCAUGCUAAUUACUGGUUUGGUUUUCAGGCUGAGCUUUUUGGUUUCCACACAUUGUACUAUAUUAUAGAGGUUUACUCAUAGUUUGAGACAGGUUCAAAAAUAGACCAGAUUUCUCUCAUAUUAAUAAUGUUAACAGCAACUUUUGAAUAUAUCGGUGGUUGAGCCUUUCAUGUAAACAGAUUCAAUAAC